UUCAGGGAGCAACCAAAGGAGCCAUUGCCCUUUGGAGCCCUGAGGACUGGCCCACCACCAGGCGGUCCUCUCAGAUCUCCAGGCCCUCGGGCAGAUGAAGGGGAAUGGUGGCCAUGAGCCCAGAGUCCUGGGGCAGGGGUGAGGCUGCAGCUUUGGGCCAUGGGAAGAGGACAGAUUUGUGUUACCCAGAUGCCGGUCACCUGGCCUGGAAUUCAUCAGCUUGCUAAGCUGCUGACCCGUGAGCCCCUGCCCCUACCUGUGCUAGGGUUUACAGGCAUGGGGCACUAUACUUGGCUUUAAAAAAAAAAAAACAUGGAUUCUAGAAAAUUAAA